UACGAAGGGGGCUAGCGUUGUUCGGAAUCACUGGGCGUAAAGGGCGCGUAGGCGGCUUUAUAAGUCGGGGGUGAAAGCCUGUGGCUCAACCACAGAAUUGCCUUCGAUACUGUAGAGCUUGAGACCGGAAGAGGUUAGUGGAACUGCGAGUGUAGAGGUGAAAUUCGUAGAUAUUCGCAAGAACACCAGUGGCGAAGGCGGCUGACUGGUCCGGUUCUGACGCUGAGGUGCGAAAGCGUGGGGAGCAAACAGG
rnacentral:rRNA from 1 species